rnacentral:rRNA from 1 species
UACGAAGGGGGCUAGCGUUGUUCGGAAUUACUGGGCGUAAAGCGCACGUAGGCGGAUCGGUCAGUUAGGGGUGAAAUCCCAGAGCUCAACUCUGGAACUGCCUUUAAUACUGCCGAUCUCGAGUCCGGAAGAGGUGAGUGGAAUUCCGAGUGUAGAGGUGAAAUUCGUAGAUAUUCGGAGGAACACCAGUGGCGAAGGCGGCUCACUGGUCCGGUACUGACGCUGAGGUGCGAAAGCGUGGGGAGCAAACAGG